AAAAGCCUCACCUUUGGUGAAAACUACGGAGACGAUGAAGCUUCAAACCUCCCCCCUUUCGCCUCUUCAAAAGGGUUUGAAUAGGUAUCUUUGGGUGUUACAAGAAGUUACUCUGCAAAGUUCCUUUUGGUGCUCAGAAAUUUAAGUGGCCUUUUUGAUGCUAGAAUCGGAACGUGAAGAUUGGAGGUGAGGGAACGUGAAG